UACAGAGGUCUCAACCGUUGUUCGGAUUUAUUGGGCGUAAAGGGCGCGCAGGCGGCUACGCACGUCCGUUGUGAAAUCGCUCGGCUCAACUGGGCGGGGUCGGCGGAUACGGCGUAGCUGGAGCAAGCUAGGGGGCAAUGGAAUUCCCGGUGUAGUGGUGGAAUGCGUAGAUAUCGGGAGGAACACCAGUGGCGAAGGCGGUUGCCUGGAGCUUUGCUGACGCUGAGGCGCGAAAGCUAGGGGAGCAAACGGG
rnacentral:rRNA from 1 species